CUUUGGGGCAGAGCCAGAAGUUGCACAGUGCCAGAUCUACUGAAUAAGGUGGAUGAGGACACAUCGUAAUAUUUUUACAGCCUGCCUUGCUGUUGGAUGGCACUCAGCAGCAGGAUUCAUCAUAUUUCUGGUCACACUUCAUAAAGACACUCGUGCAAGAUGACUUUAAGGACUGUGUCUGAAAGUGUGACCUUUGGAUCCCCCUCUAUGUGGGCCAGGGAAGACACCAUACCCACCAAGAGAAGUCUCCUCAGAAACUGCCAGGACCAGCUACAUAAUCUGCGAGAUCCGGAGAAAUAGGACCAGGAGGAGCCCCUUGUUUCUAAACUAUGAAAAAUUUCAAAAUGGUGACAGCAUGCAUGGAAAUAAGCUUAGGGCCGUAUAGGCUGCUUGGCUUUUAGGACGAGGAAGCCGGCCCCGGCCACGGCAUGGCCCGAGCUCUGGUGGCACAUAGCCCACUUCUUAACAUCUCUUGGAGGAGAGCCCUGAGAGAGGCAUGGGAUCAGAGGGCAGAGGUCACCCAGAAAACAGGCUUCCCUGAAUGAACAAGUGGGCAGGAGCAAGCACCAGGCAUCGCUGAGCCAUUCGCCUUAUUUCUUGCCACAAGAUAUAAACUAAUCUAUUUAGUUAGAAAAACAUGGUUUAUUGCAAUCUAA